rnacentral:rRNA from 1 species
AAUGCGUAGAUAUAUGGAAGAACACCAGUGGCGAAGGCGGCUGUCUGGUCUGUAACUGACGCUGAGGCUCGAAAGCAUGGGUAGCGAACAGGAUUAGAUACCCUGGUAGUCCAUGCCGUAAACGAUGAAUGCUAGGUGUUGGAGGGUUUCCGCGUCGUAGCUAACGCAUUAAGUGCCCCGCCUGGGGAGUACGGCCGCAAGGCUAAAACUCAAAGGAAUU